ACAGCAUGUCUGAUGAUGCAACAUACCGUUAGGGAUGUGAUGAGCAGAGGUACCAGACAGCUCUCCUGCUGCAGCUGAUGUUGCUCCAGGCCCUGAAGAAACAAGAGAGGAAUAAAGCAGGACGUGGCUGUGUACACAGAGGCAGCACAAAGCACUGCUCACCACCAGCAGCCCCACUCCCAGCACUGGGCACUGGUCCCACCUCCUCCAUGUGGCAGCUCUGCAGUCCCGGUAGCACUGGAAAUGAAAAGAGUUCCAUUUACGAUGUUGUUCUCAGGCUCUGUAAAUGAAUGUCUUGAUGACUUCAUUGGGAAUUCCUCAUGGACAAGAAGGAGAAAGGGUCAUCUGAGUUCUCCUGAAGAUGGGAGGCAGGGCCAGAGAGGCCCCAGCAACGUUCCUAAGGCACAGAAUGUCACCUGCUGCCUCUUCUCCUACAGUUCCACACCAAGUUUCAGGUGAACGUUGGCUGAGAGAGAAGGAAUAAAGCAGUGUUUUACAGCAGCCCAGCAGCACAGGAGGAUCUGGCAGUACUGGUGAAGUCCUUUCUCUGAACCAGACAACAGAAGCUGCUCUCCUAGUUCAUGGUUGCUCCUUCCCACUGGCAAACAACCUCGGGGAAUCUGCUUUCAGGUUGAGCCUGCUGCAAGGUGGAGGUGAAGAAAUGCGCAUCCAUCCUUUUUUGCCUUCUUGUUGCAGAACUCACCAACAAGACCAUUCAGGACUGAAUUCAUUUCCAGAUCUCCUUUUGGCAGCUGGAUGAGAAAGAAAUGCCACCACAAAGGAGGGAUCGCUGAGGCGAGGCUGAAGUUGUAUUCAAAGGCAACAGCAGUGCUGUGCAUUGCAGAUGUCAUAGAAUCACCACCGUGAUCAGUCAGCCUCUUCCCUGGAGUGACUCUGAGUUCUGGCUGCAUUUGGGGAAAUCAAGACCUGAGCAGAUCCUUUUUUAUUUCCAGUCAUUCUCAGGAAAGCACUGCUCGUCGAGUUGGGCCUAGCAAUAUGGCAGCGCACGUUCGGUAAGGGAUCUCAUCAAGUGCUGCUACGAGGACCAUGUGCUCUCUGCCCCAUUGCCUCGAGUGCACGCGCUGCAGGGUGAAGGCCUUUGGAAAGCUGGGGAUUCUCAUUGCACGUGGGCUCCUACCUAAAAGCUUUCCUGGUUUUGCACAGAUGCCGAACCCUUGCAGCUCCUGUUCUUGGUCUGAAUUUUGGGUGCUGAGAACUCUGGAAAAGCCGAAUGCUAUAAAGGAAGAAAUGCUGUCAGAUAGCAGAGAGCUGGAGCUGGGGGAAUUUUCUGGAUCGGUUCGUGAAGCGAAAGGAUUCUUUCUCUUUAAAAAUAGAAUGACAAUAGCACCCCGGCCCAGUAAUGACUUCUCUGAAAGUUAAAACAACUCUGAGGCAGUUGCUCUGCUUCCACCGGGCUGCCAGCAUGGAAACGAGACCACUUCUUGCGGGAUGGGGGUAUGUGUUUAUUGCACUGCUGUCUGCACACAAAAACUGCUCUUUCUUAACUGGCUGCACCGUUAGCGAUACGCCGCUGGUGCUGGCCAUGACUCUUUCAGUGCUGUGUAACCAUCAGUGAAGUAGGAGAAACAAAAACAAAACCAACAAACCCGCUGAUCUCCUGCUUUCUUUUAUUUAUUUUAAAGUUGGUUUUGUUUUACUGAGGUUUUGAAGGGAACUGUAGCAACAGUGCUAAUGGUGUAGCAAAGCCAAGAGGCGGCUCUUCCCCCCUGGGGGAAGCGGCGUUGAGGUGCUGAGGGGCACGAAGGCUGCUGCCUGCUAACAGCUCUGACAUUUCAUUUGCAGAAAUGCUUUUCCUCUUUUAAAACAAAAACAAAACCAACAAACCAAAGCCCAAAGCCAAACCUAACAAAUUGCAGAAGAGACCCAUGCCUGUUGCCACAAACCCGUAGAUCCGAACUUGUGGUCAUAUUCCACACAAGCUUGUAUCUAUAGGUAUGUGUCUGUCUGGCAAGUGCACAAAGUGUUGUGUUUCUGCAUUUACACUGAUGAUGUUCGAUUCUGCUGUUUGUCUCUUUCGUCUAAUGCCUUCUUCCCUCCUUUUUUUUUCUUUUUAAGAAAUGUAAAAUCAGAGCUGCAAAUCUCGCUCUGCAAUUACCGUAUCGGUUUCCAGCUUGGGUUAGGUGUUAAAAUACGUUCAUACCAACUAACAACUCGUUUGUGCCUGAGCGAAAUGGGACGGGGGAGGUCUGUGACAUCAGCCUGAAGAAAUGAAAUCUCAGCUACGUUACACGUGGGUCUGGCUGCGGGGCAUGGGCAGGGGUGGCUCUGAGGUUGUUGGGAGCAGAGAAAGCUGUUUCAUUUAUAAAGUGAUGGGGAUCCGUUCUUCGCUCAGUGACGAUUUGUUUGUGGGAGCAAGAGGUGCUUCUGUUGUGUUCUUUAUUUUGGGUAACUUCAGUCCCUGUGCACAGUGCAGCCGUGCAGCUCAGCGCCACAGCCUCCCGUUGGCUCUCCAACUCCUUUCUCCCUCUAAAAUCAGCUCAGUGUAGAAGCCAGGUUCUCUUAAUUUUGUGGUAUUUAUUUCGUUUCAAAUGGUUUUUAAAGUAGAGCAGGGGAAAAACCCAUGUAAGCAGGCAGUAUGAAACCUGCUGGGCAAAACUGACAUUUCUAAGUGGAACAAUUACUUUUGAAGAAGUUUUUUUCAACCCCAACAUACAGAUCCUAUGUGAAAAUAAUUAGAAUGUGAACUCAAAAUAAAGUCUGACUGUUUCUUUCCAGUGUUAAUUUCACCAAAGAUUUGGUCUGUAUUUCCACUUUUAAAUUUCUCUGUUUUUGAACUUGGCUGGUUUGACACACACUGCUGCGGUCCAAAAAUGGUUUUUUUUUUUUUGGUUUUUUUUUUUUUCCUCCCUUGCUGAAUUUCCAGGGUUUUCUAUGUGUUUUCUACUUAUUGUAGAUGCAUAAAACAAUGGCAGAGAGCUAACAGAACUGCAGUCUAACUGCUUUUGUUUCUCCGUGUGGAUUGAAACUAGCAAGAGGUGACCAAGAAGGAUGCAGGAUGCUCUUCCAGGCAAAGCUGUUACAAAGCCACAGUGAAGCCUUGCUGUGAUUUACUGCCCUGAAAAUGCACCUGGAGUCCAGAUCUCCCCUGGGCAUUGGUUGCCAUCACCUGUGAAGUUGCUGGAAGCUCCCAGUGCUCAAAAAGUGCUUCCUGACUCCUCCUUCCCCUCUGCUAGUGGACGUUGUAUCUGCCGUGGUGGAACGAAUAGGGUUUCUCCUGCAGUAGAUGCAGGAUGAGAUUGCAUGUUGUGACAGUGAGGUUCGUUUUUUCUAGAGAAGCUGUUAUGGUUUUGCUGUUUUUCUUUUGUUUUUAAAUGCUGUGAAUAUUCAGUGUAUUAGAUUCCUGUGUUUGUGGCUAUCAGGGAAGCCUUGGCUGAUUCAGUCUGACCUCUGAAGAGGAGUGAUUUGGACAAGUGAAGUUCCCAGUAUAAUGUGUGUUUGUGCAUGGUGGUCUCUUCCCUGUAAAGCCAUGUGGAGACAUCAGGCAUCUGGCAAUGUGCUGAGAGAAACCUGGAAUUUGUCGCUGAGCAUUUUGGAGUCUGCCACUUCAGGUGCCAUUGCGUUGGGAGUGCCAAAAAUCCAUGGCAAGGGAACUGGGCUCGUGUGUCACGAAAUGAGGUACCACCCUUGGGCUUGUGGGGAAUUUGAAAGCAUACUUUUGGAUUAGAAGAAUCAGUAUUUGAGUCAAAGGAGAGGGAAGAGUGCAAAACUACUUUGGGUACAGUAUUUUAGUGCAGUUCCUCACCAUGCUGGGCUCUGCUGAUCAAUAUCCAGCUUUCUUCUUUUGGAGAGAGACUUGACCUCACCAUGGCUGGAUGCUUAGAAAGCAAACAUGAGCGAUGUGCCAUCAGCUGCCUGCCCGUGCUGCUGGGCUCCCUUCUGGUGCUCAGCUUGCUUUCUGGUCGCUGCUGGUUUUCUGCUGCUUGGCAAAGGACAAGGGCAGCUGUGCCCCUGCAUGGGGAUGCAGCAGCUCAGCCCAGUGUGAGCUGGAGAUGCUCCAUAGUCUGGGGGACAAGUGGACAUGGUGCAGAGCACACCCACAACACGUCACUAAUUUUUUAAUUUAUUUUAGUUAAUUUUCUUUGCUAGGCUCCUGCCAGCCUUUUUUAGCCGUAGCCUCUGUUACUCUCCCCAGCCCCUUUGUUUUUCAGCUCAGCCUUUUGAAAAGAGCUGUAUUGUGUUUUUGGCGUUAAUUUGUAUGUCUUUUCCAUUGGUUGUAUUUCACUGCACUUCAUUAAGUUUUAGAGUGAAACUCGAGUCUGACAAAAUGAUGGGAAGAACCUUGAAAUGUGUCUUCCCUCUAGGAUGGAAGAAACUAAUUGGAGGCUGCGGUGCUUCUACCUGGAUGUUUCUCGUGAAUAUUUUCCCUCGCUUAGUUGAUGAGGAGCUCACAUUUAUGCAGCAGCUUUGAUCUGAGUGCCAGACAGAGUGCACAGAGAUCUCUUCAUCUGUCACCGAGGCACAGUGGCUGCAUCCCAUUGCGCCGGCGUGCUGCAGGGUCACCGUGGGCAGGGAGUGCUGGAUGCUUUGCCCAGUUUGAUGUUGCAGGGAAUAGAAAGAAAGACAAGGCAGCUACUGGAGCUGGAAACAAACCAGAGCCCUUCAUGCAGAAUGUACCAGGAGGGCCUCUGGGACAUGAAAAAAUCACAGUAUCCUCUCAGCAAUUGGUACCUUGAUCAGCACAGUGCAUUCUCUAGCUAUAAGCUGUCAUUGCUUUUGCACCUCCCAGGAAAAAAUGCCUCCAGUGGAACUGACCUGGCUAUGUGUGCAUCUAGGGAAGCUCUGCUAACAGUAGUUGUUGCUCCGUUUCUCCAGUUAGUGCAGAGGCAAAAGUUCUUGCCUGAAGAAAAAAAGCAAACCUUUACCAAAGCGAGCUCCUCUUGUUCUUCAGAUUUGGUAAAUCAUGGUUUUCUCCCUCAAAAUAACAAGACUGCUUCUCCUUUCUGUUAAUGGCACCUUUCACUGAAAGGCCAUUUGCAGACAGGUGUGUUGCACAGCAUCCGCUGGGGUGCAAGAAUGAUUUCACUUGCGUGCUCCCCCUUUUCCCAGUCUCAUCUGGUGCAGAGCACAGCGAGCGGUGUCAGCAGAGAGGAGCACACAAUAGCAUUCGGGUAAUUAGGAUAACCAUAUGCAGUGGCAAAUGGGAAUCAUGAUAAGCAGAAUGUGAUUGUGUACCCUGGAAUUUGAACCUUAUCCAAACAGUCUUAUUCAGAUGAUCAAAUCUCGUCGAACUCCUAAAAGGCAGAUAAAUUACUAUUUCAGUAAUCUGAAUUUUUUUUUUUAUUUAAAUUAGUUCUUUGUUUAUUUGUUUUUUAAUCAGUGAGGGAGAAAAUAGGGAGAGAUGUUCUUAGACGUGGGUGUUUGGGACUAAGACCCCCAUCCUUGAGCCAGGCAGUCUUCAUCACGUAGGAGCUUCAGCCCCAGUGAUCUGAAGGAGGAACGUCCUUGCAAAACCAGCAUUGGCUCUGGGACCUCCUCAUGCUAUGCAGAGUCUCCAACAAGAACGUUCAACCUGGGCUCUCUUAGCUUCCCACCUUCCCAUAAAGCAGUAUGGUCUGCUCAGCCAUAGAACAGACCUGGGCCUGUGGGUUUUGGGGAUUAUUUAGAGUCAUCAGCCAUGCAGCUUGCCUACCAGCAUCACUGAGCCACUCCUGGGCCCAGCUACUGACACAAAGCUCUCCGUGCUUCAGCAGUAAGAGCUUGGCUACCCUUCCCCUAGAAACUACCAGAUCCUGAAAUGUGAUAUUGAGUAAAUCUUCAGAUUGCUGUAACCCUUGCUAAAAAUUCAAGCACGGACCAUUUUUGUAAUGUGUUGAAAAGUUUUGGGUCGCUUUCAUAAUACUGUAGCUGCUCUGGAUGUCAGCUGAGCCCAGAUGAGAUUUCUUACUUUAAUUUGCAGACUCUGAAAGUCCCAGCCCAGCUCAGCCCACCUGCCAGGCUUCUAGGAGUAAACCUGAGCUGGAGUAAACCUUCAAACCUCUUGAGGUUCCUCAACUCGAGUCCUGAUAGUGAAACUGCAUCAAACAAAGCUCGAUGGGUGAGCUGAUCAGAUGGAACCACGUCAGCAUUUCCAUUGUCAAAUCUCAUCUGCCUGAGGUUUUUGAAAGCCCUCUGUUGAACAGAUCACUCCGAGCUGAAGUUUAGCAAACAAGAUUUCUGACCUCAAACCGGAACAAUAUCAUUUGUGGGUUUGGGUAUUUAUUUUUUUUUCUCCAUGACUUCAGGAAAUGUGUUUGCUUCAGGAGUAUUUUCUGCUUUCCACCUCCUCCUUGGCAAGCCCUGCUGUUGCCUGCCUGGGAUCUGAACGUGAAGGUGGGCUCUUCUUUCUUCUGUAUCCUUCACGAUCAAAAAGGCUCAGAGCCAAAUCUCAGCUGAUCAUCUUGCAGCUGAUCAUAACAAAACAGAAUUCUGCUUCCUCGAGCUCAUCUGUCCUGAAGUUCCAUUCGUUGCUGUCUCAAUUCUGUAUGGUCAAUAGGAGUGAUCUGCGAAUGCAGACACGCUGUGGUAUAGUUUAGGAGUAGCAAUAUGUGGGGCACUGCUUUUUGUGUCAUUGUUUUUUGGGGGGUAUUAUACCCUCUGAAGAGCUGUUUUUCUAUGGAAUGUGCUGCUUUGCAUUGCAGAAUGUUUUAAAAGAAUGGAAUAUUCCAUUAAAUCCUUGAAAAGCAGCGCUGGAUUAGAAUUCAGCCAACAUUCUUGGGAAACCAAAUGUAAAGUUUGGCUUCGUCCAACACAGAGUAAGGAAGGCAGGUUUCUGUGUUCUGCUGUCACCUGAAGUCCUUGGGGGGAAAAGGAGGUAAAACGAGCACAGCUCUGCAUUCCUUCCCCAUCCAGGCUCCACCUGCACCUCCAUCUGAUGUUGCCUGGGGUCCAUGGGCUGCUGUUCACUCUGAAGAUGCAUUAACUUACGUAGGAAUGUGUGGCUCUGCAUUGCAAUGCAAUGCUCCCCACAACUAUAUUUAAUAGAGACUUUUAUAACAUUGAUACGUAUCAUAAUUGAACAUUGUCAUUAGAUUACAUAUUCACCCUAAUUACAUAAUUACGUAUGAUUGUGCUAAUUGAGGAAAGACAUAAUUGACUAAAAUCACCCAAAAACAAACACGGGGAGUCACGCCACCAAAAGGCAGUGCUAUAAUAGACAGCAGUGCUGGAAAUCUCUCCUGUUCUCCUCCCAGAAGAGCAACAUUCCUGGUUCAUAGGCAAUUACCAAACAGACAGAUGUAGUGAAGGUGCUGGGUGAUGGUAAUUAGGUGACUUCUGUUUUAAUAUUUGAUCUCAGCUCCUCAGCUCAGCUCCUCGUGUCAGUAGUAGCAGCAGAUACUCUAAUUGAUGGCAUGACUAGCUGCGUGAUGCUUCUUUUCUGCUUGAAAUGACUGUUCCUCCGGGGUGCAAAUACACUUUCAUCCAUCCUGGCUUCAUCUGAGCUUGAAAUGGUGGGAACAGAAUAUCUCAUUCUGAGACCAGGCUCUCAGUGAUGGCAAAUCUCGCCCUGAUAAUCUGUUCAGCAGCUGCAGGGGUGUCUAAAAAUUGGCCAGAAGGGUGAGUAUGGGACAGGAACUGCUUCAGUGUUUAAAAAUACUUUAUCUUAAAGUCUCUGUUUUUGUUGUUUUUGUUUUUUUCUUUAAAGCAGCUCUGAAGCAAGCAUAGGUCACAUACAGGUCCACAGAAAGGCUUGUUUAUUCCUAUCGCAUUGUUUUGAAGGGGCUUUGGGUAUAUGGGAGCUGGUGUAAAGGGAUGUAUAGGAACUGGGACACGAAUAUUGUCUCGGUGAGAGCCCUGCCCCAUGCUGGGAUGCUGCCCCAGCACCUUGGGGUGGGAGGAAGCCCAGCGGGGUGCAGCUCCCAGCUCCCUGCAGUGCUGGGGAGGCAGCGAGAACGCUCCUUGAGUGAGUGCCAGCACAGAGCUGACAGCUCAGGGCUCGGGAAACGUGGCAAUGAGGAGGAAGCUGAAGUUGUGAUGGAAGGGAGGCAGGGAGAGGUGGCGAGUCAGGAGCAAAGCAGUCACGGUGGCAUUUGCCAACCUGCGAAAAAUUUAGGCUAUUUAGGCUCAAGGUGAGAAUAUUGCUCAUGAAGUAUUUUCUCUUAUGUCUGUGAAAGGACCUUUGCUGAGCUGAGGAUGUGACUGAAACAAGCCAGUUUUUCUUCCCUUUCUAUUUUGGAGUGAAUUCUUGGAGGAUGUUUUGCUCAGCACUGUUUGUAACUGCCUGGUCUGCAAGGUGUCCCAUCACAGUGCUGACGUUAGCAGUGAUCUCCUUCAUUAGAAUGAUUAGAUGCUGAUAACCAUUCUUUAAAUGUUUUGAAUUGCAUUAUUUCUGACGUUUGUAGCAAAGUUGAGAUGCAGGGAAGUACUUCACAGAUAAACUGUAGAGAACACGUGUAGCCUAUCCUCGUGAUGCUGAAAUGGUUUAGCUUGUAAACAAGCUCUGUCAGCUGCAGAAUGUGAAAUGGGACUUUUGAAGAAGUCAGGAGAGGCAACACACCUCCUGUGUCACAUAACUGAGUGGGAUGUGGGGCCUCCUGCCACCAUACAUGAGGUUCAUUGGGUUCCAUAGAGCUACACGGGUUACAUCUCUGGAUGCUCAAUGCACAAAAGGGUGGAAUUGUGUCAAGGAAGGAUUCAGGGUGCUUUUGGACAGCAGUAAAGCUGCUGGUCUGGAGCGGGGCUGGAGAACUGUGGUGUCCUGAUCCAACUGUGUGUCUGGAUCGUUGUUCUGAGAAAUAGAGUGCUCAACAGUGACUGUCCUGCUAUGGUGCCAUACUGUGCCAUUAACUGAGAUACUGUGCCAUAUCCACAGAGCCUGUCAGUUCAAAAUAAACGUUCCUGAAUACGCAGUUAUUAGAAAUUCCACUAAUGCUAUUAACAGCAGAGCGCAUUUAAACCUUGCAGAAAUACUGUUUUUCUUUCCAAUUUUCUUCCACUGUUGCAAGCUGAAUUCCAGCACGUGCCUUCUAGACAGGCUUUGAAUGCAGAGGUAGGGCACUGGCUUCUUCAUAAUCAGCAACGCUACUUUAUCCGAGGAAAAUAGGAGCAACCAAGAUGCCAUCUAUUCAGCACAGCUCAGCACUCAUUCAUGAGCUCUGAUUCCAAUGUAAUCCCCUUCCAGCACAGAGCCGCUGUGCCUGAGGAUGCAUUCACCUGAGAGCAGGAUCUCAGGACUGAUUCAGUUCCACUGUUUGCACUGGCAUAUUUUAAGAUGCUAAUCCCUGUUUGUAAGCUGUAAUAAAUAGGCAGCAUACUGCUUUAAGCACUAGCUUGGUGGGUAAUGGGAAUGAGUCACAAAGAUAACAUCCUGGUUGUUUGACUGUGAACUAAUACAAGUGAAAAAUGUAAUGAGUUCCUUGUUAAGGGAACACUGUCUUAUUCUGACUGCUGAGACAGGCUCAGUAUUGCUUAUCUAAAAGCAUUAAUCUGAGCAAGGAAUCGAUGCAAGGGUAAAAUUUACUUAAAUGUUUCAACCCGCUUUUGCAGUUCUCCCAAUCCCACUUCUGCAAUCAUCCUUUAAAUGCUCAGGAGCCAAGAUGGAUGUUCCAGAGUCGAUGCUAUACGUGUUCAAAAAGGAAAAGACGUGUUAGGACAAACUUCACCCUAAACCUUUCUGAGAGCUUUAGGAAAUGUAUGUGUAUGUUCUGUGCUGUAGUCCAGAUGCAUCUGCUACAGAGGAGGAAAAAAGCCUUAUUUUUCUGGCCAGGAGCAAAAUUCCUUCUUGCGUGAAAAGCGUCCACGAUCUGGUUUAUACCUAGCAGCAAUAACCAUGGCUUACCGUGUCUUACGUUGCGUUUGGUUUGGUGCCUUUUCACCAACACAACAUUUAUUACUUCCAAAUUAGAGCACUGAGAGCGUUGAGGACUUUUUUUUUUUUUUUUAUCAUUACUAUUUUUUUAAUUGAACCCCUGACAUAAUGUCGGCUGUGAAGUGGUGGGUGGCUUUCAGCAUUUUUGACUGCAUGCAUCCAGGUUGAGGUAGUAGGUUGUAUAGUUUAGAAUUACACCAAGGGAGAUAACUGUACAACCUCCUAGCUUUCCUUGGGUCUUGCACAAAGCGGCGUGAUGAGCGACCAUAAUUCCUCAGCAGUGUUUGCUCUGGACACAUGGAACAGGAAAGAGCAGGUAAGAUGAGCUGGAAAAACUUUUCUUUUGCCUCUCCAGAACUUCACAGAUGUUCGUUCUCUCAGCACUUUCUUUUUUUCUUUUUUUUUAACCUAUUGGUACCAUAUUAUCGAAUAUUUAGCAAAUUCAGUGGACUAGUAAUGCUUGUCUUCCUUUAUUAGCAUUCGAGCAGCUCCAUGUGUUACAUUCCUAAAAAGCACCAUGACAACACAUCAGUGUUAUUGCCUUCAUGGUCAGCAAGCAGAAGUCUCCAAAGGUAACAAGGAAAACGUCCUGCACUGUGUCUGUUACUGAGAUGUGCAAGUGGGUUUCCCCUGGCGUUAGCUGGUGACUGGUUGGGUUAGUUCUGCCCCAGGAGCUGAGCGAGGCCGUGCCAGCAGCAGAGUGAGAGCUGGCACUCCUUGCCUCUCAGAAAGGUAGGAGGCUGGCACUGAUGCUUCCAGAUAAAACCUGUAAGGGUUUGUGUGAAAGUACCUAAAUCUACACAGUCCCCAGGAGAGCUGUUCUUAGGGAAUCUCCAUUAAUGAUUACAGUUAGCUAAAAUGGUGGUUUCCAAGUUUUUUUUUUUUUUUCCUAGGCUUUUACAAUUAAAGUAGGCGUUUCAAAGACUGAUGCUUCUGGUCAUAUCUUGUAAAGGUGGUUUGCUUCUCCAUCGUAUCAGUUUCAUUUAGGACUGCUGCUGUGUGUAUGCUUUAGGCUGCUUUAUUUCUCAGCCCCAUAAAUCUUGUUGGAAGUGCACAUUUUCAGCUGAUGUAAAUCCACAAACUGUGCUGACCCACAUCCAGCACAGAGUUAGUGGACACCACUCUGCAAUGGUCGAUUCUUUACCUGCUUGGUACUUCUCUAGGAAAAACAUUACAUAUUCAUGGUAACGAUUCCCAAAUAAGAACAGCUUGCUUUCCUUUUUGGUGGCAGCAUUGUAGACCUGCUUUGUACAAUUCUGAGGGUACUUUGUGAGGUUGGAAGAUGAUGACUGUGUGUAGUAACACACGUACUUGUGGCUAUCAAACUUAAUGCCAGAUGGAUGUGUAAAUCAAAUAAUCUAUCUGCUCCAAAGAACAAGAGGUAACAAUGAAGAAGGAGGAUGGUCAGUGGUACAGUGGAGUUAACAAUAACCAUAAUUCAGUGUGCAUAUUUUUCUUCCGAACAAAGCAGCAUUCCAGCUUUCCCCCUGAUGAGAGGAAUGUAUUGUCAAUUAAUUAGACUUCCAUCAUAUGUCCUCGGAUGCCCUUCUAUCAUAUGCCUUCCAUAUGUCCUUAUGUCAUAUGCCUUCCAUAUGCCCUCUAUGUAAUUAAGCUUCCAUCAUAUGGCUUCUAUCAUAUGCCAUUUAAGUAGAUUUCCAGGAGAAUGUGGCAGUGUUACAAUUAUGGACCUUUUGCAAUGAGUAAAGGAGCAGCUCAUGAGCUGUAGAUUAGAAGAGGAGGAAGCAAAAGGAAGGUGUCUAGCCCUGAACGGUUCCUUUAAUUGCCAGUCUUGUUUCUCUCUGCUUGCACAAUGAACAGACAGAAGUGUCCUAAUUUCCUUCUCUUCCAUUGCUGUUCCAUUCCUAGUUUUUAUUCAGUUAUUCCUGUGAACAGUAGGAGAGAUAGUAACUGUUUUUCAGAGAACAUUUCCACUGGAAUGUAAAAUGAAAAAGAAACAAUCCACCCCCUAGAAAAUUGUUUGUCCUUUGAUAAUGGAAUCUAAACUUUGAUCUGAUUUUUGUCCUUUUAAGUCUGACAUACGAAGGGAAGUGCUAGAAAUAUCAUGAUGGGAGAAGUAAUGAAAAUGAGAUGGUGCACUUUGUUGGAGCACGCAUCCCUAUUCUCUAUUAUGGGCAAUGAGUGUAAAUAGUGUUGUGCAUUUCUUGGCAUGGUGAUUGCUUGGUGCUAGAUAGUGUAGAAGAAUAUGUAGUGAAAUGGAUUCCAAAUUUACUGUGGCUGACUAAGACCCAAAAUAGGCUCUGCUGCCUGUAUACCUCAUGAAGAAAACCACAAGCAUCCCAGGAGCAAUAAGGUCUUGGAAUGGUUUCCAAUGAAAAGGCAGCUAAUGUGCUCACUUGGUUCAUGUACAUCUCUGUAUCCGUGCCCUCUUCCUUCCCAAAUACUUCUGAGUCCGUAUUCUGUCAAAUUUGAUAGAGCAGCAGUGACUCCUGAGACAGCUGUGCUCCAGCAGGCCGUACAGAAUUUGCAACCAUGCAUCCCGUGUAGUUGGGAGGAUGGCUGGAAGGAUGAGGAGAAGGUAAAAUGCCAUGAGAUGCUCUGAAGUGACAGAACUGUAAGCUGGGGAGCAGUUUGUAGUACGUGUAGGUUUAUCUGGAGCAAGUGGUUGGAAUGAGAACAGUUUGGACAGAUUCCCAUUGACUGGUAGCCAACCCCUGAAGACACUGUGACUUCACUGCUAUUUUAUGUACUUUAAGCAGAUUAAGAUGAUAUUUACCAAAAAAUUGUCCUAUAUUUUGCUAGGUAGACAUAGUGCUAGUCACUACUAGUAAUGUAGGUUCCUCAAAGGUAGGUAAUGGGUCUUACUUUGGUUCUAGGUCACUAGGGAAGUUAUUCUGAAAACUACCUGCUGUGGUCCUGCAGUAUCAUUAUUAGGAUUUGCUGAUGUCACAGUUGUAAACUGCUUACUGAGGAAUGUGUUGGAGCCUCUUAUGGCUCAGCCAUAUCUCUUUCGACACCACUAAUUUAUUUAAAGAAUAAUUAAUAAGGUGUUGUAUUCUACAGUAAUUUCUUGGUUUGCUGGGCAGCAAGGUAUUACUUGAAACAGCACAUUCUUGCAAAUUCUCUUUUGCUUCUGUGUUUUCACAUGGCUGUGAUGGCUGUGAAAGGUGCCAGCCAACAGUGAUGAAGAAGGAAGAACUUUGCUUAUCCACAAAUAAUGGGAUUUGAUUGCAUGCAGCCCCACAAGCAUCUUCUGAGCUGCCUCACAGCUGUCCUUCGAUGGGCCAACCUGUGGCAGUGAGAAGUCUGGGCAGGGCUGUCUCCUGGGCCUUGAAUGCUCAUCCUUUAGAAAGGAAACUGAAAUUCAAAAACUUUCACUGUUGGAGGGAUCUUUUUUUUCCCUUUCUUUCUUUUUUCUUCUUUUUUUUUUUUCCUUAAACAAUGCUUUUCAUCUGCUUCCACACCCAGCUGAAACUAUGCUGCAACACUUCUGCUCCUAAAUCAGAUGCAUUAAGUACAGUCAAAUUUAUACAUAAAAGUUUUGCAAGAACAGGGAUGAAAUAGAAUGGAAUGCCAGAAUGACUCAUUGUUUAAUGAAUAAGGCCCUAAGUGUUCUAUUGAUGCCAUUUAUAAAUCUGUAUAAAAUGUAUAGAAUUCAUGUCAUAACUGGAAUUCCAAGCACAGCAACCUUGUGAACGAAAUUAUGAUGAUGAUAGGGUACUGCACAAAUUAAUAUGAAUUCUAACACGCUUCUGCUUGAAAGCUGCUCAGACAGUUAAAAAUAAGACAAUUUCAUUACAGAGAUUCAAAGCCCGGACCUCAGAAAUGGUCUCCUCUCUUCUUUUGAAGUUGCAAAUUGCUGAAGGAGGGAAGUUCUUUUUGUCUGUGUUCGAGUCACACAGUAUAACCUAUAAGGAAAAAAUACGUCCUUUCCAUUAGAUACAGAUACUGAUUGCAGUGCAGCUGGAAAAUAAAAGAAUUAGGUGCUAGAGACCAGCUCUGCAUUCAGACACUCUAUGUGAAACGAACGGCUUGAGGCAGAGCAGAGAUCUGAGCACACGUCUCUUUUUCACCACCAUUUUUCUUCUCGUUCUCACUUUCACCUUAUCACAGAUUUGCUGUAGGUUUGCAGCUUAGGUAUGAAAGCAGAUGAAGUUCAGCACUUCCAGAGUGAGUUUUCAGCAGACUCCAGUCACAGCCAAACUCCUGGAUGCGUGGUGUUGGGCUGCCAGCAUUUAACUUCCUGAUAAAAACUUCCAAGGGUUGGAAAUUCUGUAUGGCCCAAAAGAUCCAAAGCAUUUUAUUGAGGUGGGGGGGAAUGGCUUCUUUUUUCACAUGUUUCUUUAUUGACCAGAGCAGGACUUCUGGUUGCCCUGACUUCACUGAUCUCCAGGCAGUCCCAGCUGCGUAUAUUUAGCUUCAUAGGUUCAUAAUAUAAAAUGUAUUCUCCCGAAGCAAAUCAGAUUUUUACAUGUGAAAUUAGCCUCUUUGUGCAAUGUCAUGGCCCUGUUUCUUGGUUAAAUAAGUUCAAGAAUCAGGUUUCUGGGGCAGACAGGGAAAGAUUCUGAAAUUCGGUGUUCAACACAGUGCCUCCUGCUUACUUCUAUUUCUCCUUUUUUCCUACUAUAUCUGCAGAAAACAGUUUUGUCUGCAGUUAGGUGCUCCAGCCUUGUCUAAAAUGACAGUUUAAAGGCAGGGUAGCCAAUAUAUGGUCCUCGAUUUCCAUUUUCCAUCUACGUGCUCAGAGAUUCCUGUGUUCAGGUAGCGGAACAACUGCAUCACGCUGCAGAGGAGCAAAUGUUGGGGUGCAGGGCUUCCCCCGUCCCUUUCAGGCUGCUGAGGAUAAACCCACUCCAAGCAUGAGUCACCCCUCUGCCGUUUUCCCCUUCCACCCUUUGCCAAGGUCUGGUGACAUGACUGUGAUUUCUCUUGAGCUUGUCUUUGUUACAGGUGUGACACACGGCUCAUAGGGUUUCAUUAUGGCUUUCAUAAUGUAUUAAUGAAAUGUCAGGAUCAAGUCAUUUAUAAUUAACAGUGACGUGUAAAUGUCAUGUCUAACAAUUGUAGUGUAAGUGUAUUUUUGUGAAUGGGCCAUUUUUUUUACACAUGCAACUGACAGCGUCCAAAAAAGCCUUAACCAGUCAGGCAGACAUUUGGUAAAGACAGACUACUUAUUUAUUUAUUUUCUGCUUCUGCGUUUUCCUCCUUGAAUCUCUGAUAGGCUGUCAGUCCCUGUUGUUCCUAAAUCCAAUAUCAAUUCAGAGCUCAAGCCAUCAAUGGGAGCUUUUUUGAGCAUUCUAGAGCUUGGUCCUGUUAUAAACACGGAGUGGAUGCACCCCUGCACAGUAUGGAUGUGAAAUUCAACUGAGUGCUGUCUGUAUUUUUGGGAGCAAAACCAGUGAGGCAUGCAGAGCAGGAGCUGUGCUACCAAGCCUGAGUGGUUCAAAAAGAUGCCAGCAAAAAUGGGCCUAAGCAUGGAGAUAUCCAAAAUCGGCAUAGUGGAACCAUCGCCAUUAGAAAGGAAAACAAAUUUACAUCAUAAUGAAAAGAAAGGAAAUAAUGAGGAGGUAGAGUGAGAAAUUCUUGUAGUCUUGCAAAGUGAGUACAAGGAGACACGCGGUGAAAGCAAAUGGUGACAAAUUGAAAAUGUUUUAAAAGGCAAUUCUUUUUCACCAGCGCUUAAUUAAAAACGAACCUAAUUGCUUUUAGAAGUUAAUGGGACCAAGAAGUUUGCAAGUCUAGAACAGAACAGGUUAGAUACUAAAGUUUUUAAUAAGCGCAUGCAGAAUUAUGCUAAUGCAGAGCUGAGUUUAGACUUCAUGUUUCAAGACUUGAAGCAUGAGUGAAGUACAGCAGUUCAGGACCAGAAAUGAAGCAGUGCAAAGGACAACUCUUGGUCGUGCAGAGCCACCAACACUUGGAGCAGGUUUGCUAUAGAAGUUUGGAGCAGGUUUGGUAUAGCAGUUUGCAUUCUGUCCCGACCUGCAUCUGUCUCUUGCAAAUUAUUGAACACGUAGCCCACACUGACAAAUAAGACUAAAGGGUUGAUGGAGCAAUAUUGAUAAUAAUUACCCGACAGCAUGGUCCACCUGCAGCUCCUCACAGCUUCUGUGUGUGAUGGGGAAGGUUUAUGUGACCAGUGUACAGUAAGGGGUACAGAGGCAGGUGAAGCUGGCUCUUCCUAAUCGUGCUGCUUGGAAAUCCGUGGCUCUCAGCUUGGUACGAGGUUUGGGGUCGCUCCAUUCAGUCCCUGAAUGCUGUAGGCAAACAGUCUGUAUUCUUUGGCCUUAGUGAGUUGAAAUAAUUGUUGCAAGCAGAAGGUCAAACCCAUUCCUGGGUUAAUGCCCCUGAUGUGGGUGUAUUUUAAAGGGCUGGGUUUUUUCCUUGUGUUUGAAGUGGCUGCUCAUCUCGUCUGAGGAGGAGUAGCAGUUGUGGCUUCAAGAGUGGUUUGCAAUAGUGCUGUUUGUAGUCUGACAAAUGCCACAGCUUCCCCUUGGCUUUCUAUUUCCUCCCAUAAGUGAAAUUGUUAGAUUUGGAGACGGGAUCUUAAAAAAAGAAUGAGGAAGAAAGGAAGAACGGGAAGGAAACGGGAAGGGGGGAAGGCAAGGCACAAUUGCUAUCUGCUACAGAUCUUGUGGUUUGAGUUGAUUUUGGAAAUUGCCUUCCCAGUGGCUUUUGAAAUGUGAGAGGAGAACUUAUGAUUAAGGGAGCUAAGAUAUUUCAGUCACGUGUUUCCCUUCAUUUGUAUGUGAGAAUAGUUACUGAAUAAGAAAUUAAACAGUGUAGGUUCAGUGGAAAAAAUACAAUCAGGGUCUGCUGCUUGCUGUGUUGGUAGUGAUGCUGAAUCACUUCUGUUUGGAGGGUUCUAUCAUCCAUGGCACUGGGCAGUGAGCUCUAAAUGCAGUGCUGCAAUAAAUCAUCAGGGCCCUGUGCUGGUGGCUUUAUUUCCUAAAGGAUCACUCAGAAAUUCAUGUCAAAAUUAGAGACCUGUAGUCUCUUCCUUCUUCAGUGUGAGUGUGGGUUUGUCCUCGUAUACCCUGCUGUGGGGAAGGCUGCUUUUAAAUCUUUAAUGGGGCAUUAGAGCAAUUUGCCUGUGAUUUAGUAAUAAGUGGGCAAGGAGAGUGGUGACAAACGAAGCCGGGAGGCCCUAAAAUUCUUUGAAUAUUCCAUGUUUUCCUGGAACUGUUGGGAAAAGGCUGCCAGAAAGGUCUUGGCAGGUUUUCUAGGUGGCUGGCCAAGUCUGAAGCAAAUGUGGAUAGUUAAUAGGCUAAUGCAGCUCCGGUUCCAAGUCCAUACAUAUAUAACAUACGUUUUUAUUUAAGAAAUCCCACCGCACGGAGGAGCAAAUGUAGUGCUAAUACAUCUUCCUGCAAGAAAAUGGCAAGGGAAAAAACACUGUCAUCUUGCGAAGAUAAAACAAAGGAUCUUUUGCCCUUGCGUUUUGGAGAGUUGAAUUGUGAUUUUAACAAGAGGAGAUCUAGGAAAUGGAAUCAGUAGACAGGCAGUGGCUUUCCCAUGGGGGCCCCAUAUUAAUUGGGAAUGGCUGAUAUAGCAAUAGAUUACAUCUGAGAAAAAUGGCAGGAGUUGUUCAAGGAAUGGAUUUCCAUUGCUAGAUUGUCUGUUCUUUGUUAAAAAAAAUGGUAAUUGAGCAGGAAAGUGAUCAAAUAAUGACGUGGGACCGACUGCUGCAGUUGGUUGCAUGUGGACAACCCCCUCUAGCUCAGAGCUGGAAUCUAUCUGUGGGUCAGCUGUAAAACUUGGGUGUUGCUAAUCAGCCAUCCCAGUGUCAGUUAGUUUGGGAAGGGUUCCUCUGUGCACCAGGCUCGGAAUGUUGGCUCUCUGCAGCUGCAGGCACCCAGGAGUGGAUGUUCACUAUUGUGCCUGGCAUGAGUUUGCUCCUGGGAAACAGGAGUUCAGAUUUCUCUCGGGCAUCAGGUGAAUUAGCUUUGUAAUUUUACAGUCCUCUCCAGUGUGAAGGAUUCUUGUUUGUGCUCAGCUCGUGGGGCUUGUCUUGUUUUAUUAUUAAUGGGGAGAAGGCUGCUGUGCACAGCCUCUGCCAUUAUCAUGGAAGGAUUUAUUUCUUUGAUUAAACUGUUGGUGCAGAUCCUGAAGUUCUGCACCAGACUUCCUGUGGGAUCUCUGAUGAGUCGCUUAUUUUUCUUUGUUUUUACUCACUGUCUCUUAAAUGGAGGUCCUUCUAACGGAGAAGAGGUGCAGCUCAUAUGUGAACUGUUCAGUCUGCCAUGCUGCAUGUCGUGUUGGAACUGCAAGUGAGCAUACUGUAUAUCUGUAUGAAGAUAGAUUUCAUAUGGGCUGCUGCCACGCUGACAUAUACAUUCAUUAGCUAUACAGCCUUAAAGCUGACAAUAUUUAUAAUCGAAUACUACACUGAUAAGAACACAAUCAGCUCGAAAAGGAUGUUGUUAUACUUCGAAAAUCCUAUUUAAAGAAUGUCAUUUAUUGUCAUAAUAGGUUAAGUAACCUCGUAUUCGGAUUGUUUCCCUCGUUUUCUACCUCAUACAAAUGUUACGCUGUCUCUGUGUUGUGAAAACAACUGAAUUUAAACUUAGGAUGUAACAGAGCCUGCACUGCAAUGUUCAGUGAUGCAGAAGUACAGACUGGCACCAGGAGUGGGGAGACUGGCUGCUCUGCUUGCAUCCUGCUGCUAUUUCUGGCAUGCAGAGACUGAGCAGCGUCUGCUGGCCCAAACCUAAGUCCUCAGACACUGCUGCAUCUUCCCCACGUUGUGACAUUCGUGCUCUCUGUCACACACCUCUGACAUGUGGCCUUCUACUUUUUAGUGUUCUCAACACCAGCAAAAACAAGUUAUAAUACUUUAAGAGCUCUGUGUCCAGUUUCACCAAAGGUAAGGGCAACAGGACUUGCAUUCAGCCUUCCCCUGUGUUCAGGUUCCCAAUCCUAUUAUUUGUCUGACAGCGGGACCUAAAUGGCUUGGCAUCCUGUAGAUGCUCUGUGAGAAGAGGCUCCCUGUCCCCAGGAGCUGCAGUCUAAGCAGAUAAGGCCAGCAGGAGAGGGAACACAGAGAGAUGGAGAAACUCACCCAAGCCACUUAGCACGUCGAGUGGCAGUGCUGGGAAUAGGAACAGACCUCAUGAAUUCUCACCACUGUCACCACCACCAAAAAUAUUUUGGUCUUCUACCUUUUGGUUUAACUCUUAAGCAAUAGAUGAGACAAAUAUUUUCGUUGCUGUUGGGAGAAAUAUGCCUCCCUUUGUUUAAUUUUUAUUUUAUUUUUUCAAAUUGUGGCAAGCGUGGGCCAUAGCUGGAGGACAAGAACACCUGGAAAACAAUUUUUUGUUUAUCUUUGAAAUAACUCCAGCCUCUCUUUAAAAAGAAAGUCAUUGCUGGUGAAAAAGGCUGUGACAGGAGGUCUGGGGGAUGUGUAGGAUGACUCUGCUCCGAGGUCCUUCUGCUCCUUAUAACCUAUCAGGGCUCUCUACAAACAUAAAUUAUGGCUCAGAGAUAUUUCUUUCUCAUACGAAAUAGAUAUGUUACUUAUUUUGGUUUUAUGCAGGGAAAAAAUGGGCGCAGACUGGGGAUCCACAGUGGCUUCAUGGAGGAGAAAUAAUAGAUCUCUGGACUGCAGCAGGCAGCAAGCGAGGCUUUCCAUCUCGGUACAGUGUGACCUGUACACUUUUUGCCUAUUGAAAUAUAAUUCCUUCUAGCUCCGGUUUUAGCUUCAUGGAUUUCUAAUUUUAAUUUAAUUUUCUACUCUUCCUGCUGGGUCAGAUUCCUAAAAUGUCACUAAACUUUGUGCCUGUUACUGACGUUGGAUCUGGGUUCAGUCGUUUAGAUUCUAAUUGAGUAUUCUCAGUCUGUGUUUUGCUUUUAGUGACUUCUAGGGGAAGAGGAAAAAAAGAAAAAGAGUUGAUUAAUUAAGGGACAUCACCUUUUUCAUGCAUUGAUUCUAUUUAAAUUUCAAACAGAUUUAAAUAAAAAGCGUUAAACGUUCACCAUAGGUUAACAGACUAAUAAAACUCCAUCAGUUAGUAAGUGAAGUGCCUAAAAAUCUGUCAGACUGUUGGUAUGGGACCUCAGAUCUUAAGGAGUAUUACCACCAGCUCAGAAGCAAUUAGAUUUAUCUGAAAUGUUAGUGAGUUUCUUGGAGCUGUGGUCAUGUUUUCUGUGAAUCAAGCCUUAAGCGAAACUCCUGGUGGACCAGAAGCCAUGUGAAAUACGAGGGUUUUCAGGUGCUUGAUGUGGUAUGGAAAUGGCAAAUCAUGCAGGAAUAGAUGUUAAACAUCAGUGCGUGACUUCAUCCAAACGAGUUCAAGUUUCGUCUUGAGUUUUGGAGUUUGGUUAAAUCCAGUAUGUGCAGAAGAGCUCACAUCCGAAGGCAGACUGGAAACUCCCCAUGGACAAAACACACAUAACUCCAGGUACUGCGUUCCUGCUUCUCAUGCUUUUUCUUUGAUAGUGAAUGAAUUAAUCUCUGUUACAUCCACUGACCUUUUGUUGAACCCUUCCCAUUUUCCCAAACUUGGUUUCUGCACGGAAUGAUGCAGAAUUCCAAAACUGCCGUGCCUGGAAGUGAACAACUCUGCCUUAUUUAGCUUUUUCCUUGCUUUUCUCACCCUAGGAUAAAUUGUUUCAUGGCUUUGUCCAUAAAAAAAUAUGGCUUAGUCCAUAAAAUAAUGUAUUAUUUUAACUGUCCUCCAUUAUCUAGAGGUUGAAAGAUUCGGAGCUCAAACAACCUUUUAGAAACAUGUCAGCAGAAUUGGAGUCAGGUAGAAAAAAUACAACCAUCCCCUCUCUAUGCCGAAUCGCUGUCAGGAUAGACCUUGUUGGGUCUGCAGGUGAGAGCUGAUGGGUGGGUUGGGUUAAAAGGAUUUAUUGGGGAUGAAAUGGAGUUUUAGGACCAUCAGCCAUACUGCAUCCUUUUUGUCAACUAACAGGGUUGAGGAUAACAAGAGUAAUCUGGACAGAGCAGCUUUCUUCCAAGGACCUCACAACUCUCUGUGGACAUGCUUCUCUCUGCAAAAUGGCUCUCACUCCAUUUCUGUGAGAACUCUUCCCGCAAACCGGGUCCCUAAGAGGAUUAGUGAAGGGGA